rnacentral:rRNA from 1 species
UACAGAGGGUGCAAGCGUUAAUCGGAAUUACUGGGCGUAAAGCGCGCGUAGGUGGUUUGUUAAGUUGAAUGUGAAAUCCCCGGGCUUAACCUGGGAACUGCGCUUGUUACUGGCAGACUGGAGUGUGGCAGAGGGGGGUGGAAUUCCAGGUGUAGCAGUGAAAUGCGUAGAUAUCUGGAGGAACACCGAUGGCGAAGGCAGCCCCCCUGGGCUAACACUGACGCUGAUGCACGAAAGCGUGGGGAGCAACAGG